rnacentral:lncRNA from 1 species
AGUUGGAGAAUAAUCGAUUAUCAGAUUCUGAAUAAUCGAUUAUCUGGGCACAAAAUCAGCAUAAUUGAUUGCCAAUUAAGCAACGGACAUACACCAUUUUUCACCUAUAAAAAGAGGUCUUUUGAGGUAAAUUUCUCAACUGAAAGUGGUAAAGCAUUAUAAAUUAUUAAAUACCAAAAGUGAUGACCUCUUAAUUUCAUUGUAGGAUUUAAUACUGAAGCAACACCAAAGUAGGGGGAUAGGGAAAAAUUAUUUUUUAAACUUAGCUUUCAUAGAAUUAAUAGCUUUUUGAUAAGUACUCCAUCAUCUGAAAAUGUUGUAAAUAAAUCUACAAGUGCUGCAAUAUCAACUAAACAGUUAGAAAUAGUAGGAUAAUAUUGGCCAGAUAAUUCAUGUGUAGCAAUAUGAAAUUGUUCUAAAAAGUCUACAAGCAUUUUAAUAUUACUCAAAUCUUGAUUUGUAAGGUGCUCAUCAUUAUCAUCAUCACCA